GUCCAAAAUACAAUGAUGUCUUUUCCAAGCACACAUCUGAUUGUUCUGUGUGGAAAAUGACUGCUGAGUGAUUUUGGAU
rnacentral:snoRNA from 1 species